GGUGAUAAUCAAGGGCCCGGGGGAUUUUCCUGGUGGCGAGUGGCGAAGGGGUGAAUAAUGUAUCGGAACGUACCUUUCUGUGGGGGAUAACGUAACAAAAGUUACGCUUACCCCGCAUAUUCUGUGGAGGGGAAAAGGGGGGAUCUCAACACCUUGUUCUGAUUGAGCAGCCGAUAUUAUAUUAAUAGUUGGUGAGGUAAAAGCUCACCAAGGCGACCAUCUGUACCGGGUCUGAAAAGAUGAUCCCCCCCCCUGGAACUGAUGCACCGUCCCCACUCCUACUGGAGGCAGCAGUGAUGUUUUUUGGACAAUGGGGCAAGCCUGAUCCACCCAUGCCGCGUGAGUGAAGAAGGCCUUCUGGUUGUAUAUCUCUUUCUGCCAGGAAGAGACGUGGUGGUUCAUACCCUGUGUGGAUGACGGAACCUAAAUAAAAACACCGGCUAACUACUCCGCCGCGCCGC
rnacentral:rRNA from 1 species